rnacentral:lncRNA from 1 species
CUUUGCCAUACACCCCCCCUCCCCUUAAAAUCUGGUUGCCUAUGACAACCUGGCAUAUCAUUUUCUUUUUAUAUUAUUCUUAGGCCCCUCGUUGCCAUAACAACUGAACAAUGCUUUUAAAUAUAGCAGUUAAUUUUUCAGGCUGAGGCAACAGAGUUCUUACCCGUCCAAGAGGCAAACAGCUGUUUUGUCUCCUGUCACUGAAGACCACUCUCCACCCCCAUGCCAGGCCAAAUGCCUGACUUUAAUGCCCUUUGAGAUCUAAGGAACAGCCUAAGGCCUUUUACGAGCAUGGUUGUCUCAGCUUCCAGGAAUCUCCGAAACCUCUAGAUUAUGAGCUCACAGUUGGCUUGUGGCAGGUAAGAGUCUCUUUGAGUUUCAAGGGAUUCUAGGGCAGCAGAAAUGCGGGGGCGGGGGGGUCACAA